CGGAAUGUGGAGACACUUAAUGUGCAAAGACACCGACGGGUGUUACAUUUGCCUUCGGUGACCUUAAGAACUUUCUGCGUAAAAAGCUAUUUUACAUCAAAGCAGUCUUUUAUCUAAAGGUUUGGUAUAUGACAAAUAGUCGACCACACUGGCAAGAGCACUUUGACAACUGGAAGCUUUCAGCGCAUGCUCUCCCAAGGAAUCAUGGGGCUUGAAGUCUACAGAUGGCAUUUCACUGCUGCUAGCCUGAAAGGAACAGGGCUCAGAAGGAAACAAAGUAUGUGCACACUCCCUCUUUCCUGGGAAAAUUGCUGCAGUCUGAAUCACCAGCUCUGAGGACAUAAACAUCUGUCAGACUGAGCUGAAAAUUAUUCAAGGAUGCAUGUGGAAGUCACCGCACCCUUACUGUCAGUUCUUUCCAGGAGACAGCUUCACUUUGUAGACCAAUUAUUAAGAUAAGGAGAGUGCUCAUUAUGAUAUUUGCAAAUGGAGAAGCGCUCCAGAACUGAAGAAAACUGGGACGUAAAGACAGGUUUUGAUCAACUAGCCAGUAGAAGAAAACCAGUUUCUACAAUAACAAAAGUUGUAUCAGAGCACAAGACCUUAAUGCAAUCUGGUAUUUAAAUUAUUUGACCUGGGCCAACUCCAAAUAAACAAACAUAAAAAAGGCCUAAAUAAGCCUAGAUAACUCAAUCAACAUUGUAUUAAGUGUAUUUUCAUUUUAUAAAAUUUAUUAUUAAACUAUUUAAGCCUUUUAUGACUAACAAACCAUGCUAGUCUUUUUGCCAGAAAGUGAAUACUUCAACUAACUUGAAGGUUAAAAUGAAGAAUUAAGUUACUGAAAAAAUUUUAUUGUAGAAAUCUUUGUAUCACUUUAGAUUUGUUUCAUUUUAGUUUAAUAGAGGGCUCCUUGUCUUUCUAAAGAUGAAAUCAAGUAGAUAAAAAAUGCCUAACUGAUCUUGUAAUUUAAUUUUAUAUAUUACAUUCAUAGCCAUUAAAGUGCUUUUUUGCCAAAAUAUAACACUUUCAUAUUGCCAGGUUACUUAGCUUUCACUGAAAACAGUGAAUAAUUCCAACAACCUUAAUACUGUCAGAUCAAAAGAACUGUAUUAAGAUUCUGCUCCUUCAUUAUUCAGUCUCUUUUUCAGGCCUUGAAGAAAUGGUCAGAUAAAUAUUUAAUAUACCUCCAUAUUGUUCUUACAGUAAUUGCUAGUCAACU